rnacentral:sRNA from 1 species
ACACAAAAGUGGUUGUAGUAUAGCGGUUAGUAUCC